rnacentral:rRNA from 1 species
CCUGGUUGAUUCUGCCAGUAGUCAUAUGCUUGUCUCAAAGAUUAAGCCAUGCAUGUCUAAGUAUAAGCAAUUAUACGGCGAAACUGCGAAUGGCUCAUUAAAUCAGUUAUCGUUUACUUGAUAGACCCAUACUACUUGGAUAACCGUGGUAAUUCUAGAGCUAAUACAUGCGAAAAACCGCGACUUCGGAAGCGGUGUAUUUAUUAGAUUAAAGACCAAUGCCCUUCGGGGCUGACUGGUGAUUCAUGAUAACUUCACGAAUCGCACGGAAGCCGGCGAUGGCUCAUUCAAAUUUCUGCCCUAUCAACUUUCGACUUUAGUGUAGUGGACUAAGGUGGUUGCAACGGGUAACGGAGGGUUAGGGCUCGACCCCGGAGAAGGAGCCUGAGAGACGGCUACUACAUCCAAGGAAGGCAGCAGGCGCGCAAAUUACCCAAUCCCGACCCGGGGAGGUAGUGACAAUAAAUACUGAUACAGGGCUCUUUUGGGUCUUGUAAUUGGAAUGAGUACAAUUUAAAUCUCUUAACGAGGAACAAUUGGAGGGCAAGUCUGGUGCCAGCAGCCGCGGUAAUUCCAGCUCCAAUAGCGUAUAUUAAAGUUGUUGUGGUUAAAAAGCUCGUAGUUGAACCUGGGCCUCGCGCAGACCGGUCCGCCUCACCGCGUGCACUGGUCCUGCCGGGGCUUUUCACUAGGGGAUUCGCAUGUCCUUCACUGGGCGUGUGCGGAACCUGGACUUUUACUGUGAAAAAAUUAGAGUGUUCAGAGCAGGCCUAUGCUCGAAUACAUUAGCAUGGAAUAAUAGAAUAGGACGUGUGGUUCUAUUUUGUUGGUUAUGGGACCGCCGUAAUGAUUAAUAGGGACAGUCGGGGGCAUCAGUAUUCAAUAGUCAGAGGUGAAAUUCUUGGAUUUAUUGAAGACUAACUACUGCGAAAGCAUUUGCCAAGGAUGUUUUCAUUAAUCAGGAACGAAAGUUAGGGGAUCGAAGACGAUCAGAUACCGUCGUAGUCUUAACCAUAAACUAUGCCGACUAGGGAUCGGGCGAUGUUAUUUUUUGACUCGCUCGGCACCUUACGAGAAAUCAAAGUCUGUGGGUUCCUGGGGGAGUAUGGUGGCAACGCUGAAACUUAAAGAAAUUGACGGAAGGGCACCACCAGGAGUGGAGCCUGCGGCUUAAUUUGACUCAACACGGGGAAACUCACCAGGUCCAGACACAAUGAGGAUUGACAGAUUGAGAGCUCUUUCUUGAUUUUGUGGGUGGUGGUGCAUGGCCGUUCUUAGUUGGUGGAGUGAUUUGUCUGCUUAAUUGCGAUAACGAACGAGACCUUAACCUGCUAAAUAGCCCGCGUUGCUCC